AUUGAACGCUGGCGGCAGGCCUAACACAUGCAAGUCGAGCGAGUGGCGGACGGGUGAGUAAUGUAUGGGUAUCUGCCCGAUAGAGGGGGAUAACUACUGGAAACGGUGGAUAAUACCGCAUACUAUCGGAUGCACCCAUAUGGGAUUAGCUAGUAGGUGGGGUAAAGGCUCACCUAGGCGACGACCUCUAGCUGGUCUGAGAGGAUGAGCAGCCACACUGGGACUGAGACACGGCCCAGACUCCUACGUGAGGCAGCAGUGGGGAAUAUUGCACAAUGGGCGCAAGCCUGAUGCAGCCAUGCCGCGUGUAUGAAGAAGGCCUUAGGGUUGUAAAGUACUUUCAGCGGGGAGGCGUUACCGGCAGAAGAAGCACCGGCUAACUCCGUGCCAGCAGCCGCGGUAAUUC
rnacentral:rRNA from 1 species